UAUCUACUCACCACUGUGGUUCUUCUUGGUGGAGGCGGCAACUACUAAAUGCUUCUAGUCAGCUGUCCUGAAGUGCCUGUUGGAAUUUGGUGCUUAAAAUAAUUUCUUAGUUGAUUUCCAAUUUUGUUUGGUUUUUCUGUGUUCUCCUUUAGUUCUUUGAGUGUAUUUUGAAGUCUUUAGUACAUCUGAUGCUUUAGGUUAAGGGACAGUUUCUGCACAUUUUUUCCUAUGAAUAGACCAUGUUUUGUUCUUUGUAUGCCUUGUGAUCUUUUGUUGAAAACUGGACAUCUGAAAAACAGCCAAGUUUCCCAGUCUUUGCAGACUGGCUCCAUGCCAGGAGGGACCUCCACUCACUAGUAAGAUGUGUUCUGACCUUUAGCAUCAUCCCACGAUGAAGCCCCAAAGACCCUCCAGGACUUUGCUUGGUAAGGGUCUUGCCUGAGGCCCUGUGUGUAUUUGUUUUUAUUCUGUUACACCACGCUUUUAAAUUUUUUACUUUUCCAAAGAGUCUUCCUGUACCUUGUUCUAGUCCAUAGGUCUGCAGUCCUGCAGCUUUCAGUUACCCACCACUUUCUAUGGCUUUUCCAAGGCUGCGCUCUAAGUAUACCACUUUUCCUCAUCCAAGCUCCAAGUUAGGCAAAACAGAGACCAGUUCUUCAGCAGCCCCCAAAAUGUUGCAAAUAAGAUCUGUCCUGCUCCCUCCUACUUGAGGGAGGUCACUGGUACCUGGGCUGCUGCUUCCUCCCAACACUACCACACUGUGGAGAGGGUGGGGCAAGCCUGAGUAAAACUACCACAAAAUUUCUUACCAUUUUGAAUGUGACUUUUCCUUGAUUGGGCAUUAGCUUGGUUCUUGUAGACCUUUGCCUUUCAGAGUUCCCAUAAAGUUUUCUUUAGUCAGUCUCUACUUGUAAUCUUUCCAUGGGGAAUGAAGACAUGUAGCUGCCUAUUCUUCUUGCUGCUGUAUAGUCCAAGCACAGUGCAAAAAUAAAAUGUACAGCAUAACAAGUUAUUUUACAACAGACACAUGUAAUCAUAAUGCAACUCAAAAAACAGAACAUUUGUAAAACUUAGUAAGUUCCCUGCUUACCAAAUCACUGAUAUCCCUCGCCCUCCCUUCCCAAAGCUGACCAUUAUUUUAACUUUGUGGGCAAUGAUGUCUUUGCUUUGCUUUAUACUUUAACAGUUAUGUAUACAUCC
rnacentral:lncRNA from 10 species